rnacentral:rRNA from 1 species
UACGUAGGGGGCGAGCGUUGUCCGGAAUCAUUGGGCGUAAAGAGCGUGUAGGUGGGCCGGAAGGUCUGGUGUGAAAGCCCGGGGCUCAACCCCCGGAGGGUCACCGGAAACCGACGGCCUUGAGUCCGGAAGAGGAGAGUGGAAUUCCUGGUGUAGCGGCGGAAUGCGCAGAUAUCAGGAGGAACACCGAUGGCGAAGGCAGCUCUCUGGUACGUGACUGACACUGAGACGCGAAAGCGUGGGAGCGAACAGG